UCUCUAUGGAAAUGAUUUCUCUGCUCUCAGCACACUGAAGGCAACAUGGGUCACAAAGACAGGAGGAAAACAUUUAGACUAAUACCAUUAAUGACUUUGAUGGAAAAGAGGAAAAUAUAUGAGAUGGAAUGGAACUCUGGGUUUAGAUGCUCAUUCUCAGAGUGCAGGAGGUUUUUGUACAGCCACUUAAUGAGUUUGUAUCACUGUGGUGGACUUUUGGUGGAGGAACCAAACUCAUCAUUGAUUUGGGUGUGGUACAGCCCACUCUGACUGUCCUCCCUCCAUCCAAAGAGGAGGGGAAGCAGAACAGUGCCACUGUGGUGUGUCUGGCCAGUGGAGGUUUCCCCUCAAAUUGGAAGCUAGGCUGGAAGGUGGGGGGCACCAGCACAUCCUCAGGGGUGUCAAACAGCCCUGAAGUCCUGGGGACAAACGGCCAUUACAGCUGGAGCAGCACCCUGAGCCUCUCUGCAGACCAGUGGAGGAAGGCGGGCUCAGUGACCUGUGAGGCCAGUCUGAGCGGACAGAGCCCUGUCACUCAAACCCUGAACCCUGACCGCUGCUCAGAGUAGAGCCUCAGCAACACUUCCUGUCUGCAAAUGUGUUUUAUAGUUUGAUGAAGCCACACAUUUCCUCUGUUCUCAUAUUCUUGCAAACAUUUGACUCUUUUCAUGUGCAUGCAGAUUUCAUCAGCUAAUCUUUUCCACCUGUGCUUUAAAACCAUGUUGUAAAAAAGUCAA